rnacentral:miRNA from 1 species
CUUCCAGUCGACGAGGUACAUGUACCUCCUCGACUGGAAGGAUUUCCUUCCAGUUGACGAGGUACAUGUACCUCCUCGACUGGAAGGAUUUCCUUCCAGCUGUCAAGGUACAUGUACCUCGCCGGCUGGAAG